UACGUAGGGUGCAAGCGUUGUCCGGAAUUAUUGGGCGUAAAGAGUUCGUAGGCGGUCUGUCACGUCUGCUGUGAAAACUCGGGGCUUAACCCCGAGCCUGCAGUGGGUACGGGCAGACUAGAGUGCGGUAGGGGAGACUGGAAUUCCUGGUGUAGCGGUGAAAUGCGCAGAUAUCGAGAGGAACACCUGCGGCGAAGGCGGGUUGCUGGGCUGACACUGACGCUGAGGCACGAAAGCCAGGGGAGCGAACGGG
rnacentral:rRNA from 1 species